rnacentral:rRNA from 1 species
AGCGAACGCUGGCGGCAGGCUUAACACAUGCAAGUCGAACGGGCGUAGCAAUACGUCAGUGGCAGACGGGUGAGUAACACGUGGGAACGUACCUUUUGGUUCGGAACAACUGAGGGAAACUUCAGCUAAUACCGGAUAAGCCCUUACGGGGAAAGAUUUAUCGCCGAAAGAUCGGCCCGCGUCUGAUUAGCUAGUUGGUGAGGUAAUGGCUCACCAAGGCGACGAUCAGUAGCUGGUCUGAGAGGACGAUCAGCCACAUUGGGACUGAGACACGGCCCAAACUCCUACGGGAGGCAGCAGUGGGGAAUAUUGGACAAUGGGCGCAAGCUUGAUCCAGCCAUGCCGCGUGAGUGAUGAAGGCCCUAGGGUUGUAAAGCUCUUUUGUGCGGGAAGAUAAUGACGGUACCGCAAGAAUAAGCCCCGGCUAACUUCGUGCCAGCCGCCGCCGUAAUAC